rnacentral:rRNA from 1 species
CAGUCGCCACGGUAAUACGAAGGGGGCUAGCGUUGUUCGGAAUUACUGGGCGUAAAGCGCACGUAGGCGGACAUUUAAGUCAGGGGUGAAAUCCCGGGGCUCAACCCCGGAACUGCCUUUGAUACUGGGUGUCUUGAGUGUGGAAGAGGUCAGUGGAAUUGCGAGUGUAGAGGUGAAAUUCGUAGAUAUUCGCAGGAACACCAGUGGCGAAGGCGGCUGACUGGUCCACAACUGACGCUGAGGUGCGAAAGCGUGGGGAGCAAACAGGAUUAGAUACCCCGGUAGUCCCUGUCUCUUAUAC